GUCAACUCCUUAUUAUCUGUAGAAAGCUUACUUGAAUGGUUACCAAUCUUCAGUAAGUAUUGCCUUUAUAUAUUUGCUGUUAUUGCAGAUUCUUCUUAAUUAAGUUCUUUGUUGAUGCAGUUUUUGUUUAUUCUUACAUCUUAGAAGCAGUCUGAGGGAGCAGGAAAGACCUUUUGAAAACAAAGCAGUUACUUCCCAUAUUCAGAGAAAGUGUAAGUCAAGUGGACAGUUAUCUAAAGGGGGCACAGAAUGCCAUGUAUAGUAUGGUUGAUGGUGCCAGUCUCUAGCUUGAAGUCAAAAGUAGAAGUUUAAUAAAGACAAAAGUGUGUUCAUUGUGGGAGACAUUGUUUUAUUUAAUUUUCCAAUCAUUUCGUUUUGGUUUGAAGUGCAUUUUGGUUAUUCAGCAAAUAGAAUAUUUACUUUAUCAGGCAAUGAAAAUACAAAAUUGGCUCAUUUUUAAAAUGUGUUGGAUUCUCAAACAGAAGGAAGAACAGGUUCUUAGAGAAAUCCGCCCCACCCCCCACCCCCCGAUGCUUUUGAAUUAAGAAAUUCUAAGACUUGUAUGAUUGGGUAUGUUUGUGAUUACCCAGCAGGGUCAUAAGAAAUAACAUACUUUAUCCCAAGUAUAGAAAUCCUCUGGUUGUCAUGGGGGACCUUGAAUCUGCAACACAUUUGGCGAUUAGUUGGCGAUUAGCUUAAGGUAGCUUCAUGACAUUGUGGGGGAAGAUGAAUCAGCCAGGCUGUUAAUGUCAAAAAUACAGUUUCUAUGACUCCACCCCCUUAGGAUGAACUCCAGAGGCUGCAGUGAGAAGUGAAGUACCCAAGGAGGCCAGCUCAUUUCACACAGUGGGAACCACGCCAUCCACAAGCCUUCUGCACCUCGCCCAGCACCUCCUGAACAAAGGCCUCUGGCUGCCAGGAGGGUUUGCUAGCAGCAGAGUACAGGAGACGUGCCAGCACCAAGCCUCCCUCUUGAUGGAAAGGCAGCCCAAAGGGCAUGUCCUGUUAGCACCAGGUGGCCAAAGUAUUGGAGCUUCAGCUUCAGCAUCAGUCCUUCCAGUGAAUAUUCAGAGUUGAUUUCCUUUAGGAUGGACUGGAUUGACCUUGCUGUCCAAGGGUUCAUUGCACUAAUUAAUGUGGAUAACCAACAGUUGACUUUAAAACUGUUUACAUUUUGGCUUCCAUGCCUCUGGAGUAGGAUGAAAAUAUCUAAUAUUUUUUUUCCUGCGGUGAGCUGUCGGACUCUAUUUGCACAGUCUGCCUCUCCCAUCUGGCCUGGAAUGUUGGAUGGCAGUGUUCAGAAAGAGCAUUGUGUACACAGAAAUGCAACCUUCUCUCAUUGACCCCCUCGGAUCUGAUUUAUGCUUUGUCCCUCAGCUUCUUGGUACUUAGCUAUUCAGUUUGCAUUCCAUUUCACUGCAUUUUGUACUCACUGCAUUUUUGUUGGCUUGUUUUCCUCUUUGUAAGCAGAUUUUUUUAAUCUGAUAUAUGAAAGUAAAUUAAUAAUAAAUACUACCAUGUUUGUUUUGCUUUAAAAUUAUAAAGAAUAAACUGUAAGAUAGUUUCAUCUAUUUUGUUUUCUGAAUACAAUCAAUUAAAUCUGAC
ensembl:lncRNA